ACCCGUUAGCUACUUAGUGCUGUGUGACAACGUUACCGCAAAGUGAUUGGCUUAAAACAACACGUGUGGCCGGGCGCGGUGGCUCAAGCCUGUAAUCCCAGCACUUUGGGAGGCCGAGACGGGCGGAUCACGAGGUCAGGAGAUCGAGACCAUCCUGGCUAAUAUGGUGAAACCCCGUCUCUACUAAAAAUACAAAAAACUAGCCGGGCGAGGUGGCGGGCGCAGGAGAAUGGCGUAAACCCGGGAGGCGGAGCUUGCAGUGAGCUGAGAUCCGGCCACUGCACUCCAGCCUGGGCGACAAAGCGAGACUCCGUCUCAAAAAAAAAAAACAAAAAAAACAAAAAAAAAACACGCGUUUAUUGUCUCAGUUUUCUGGGGUCGGGCACAGCUUAGCAGGGUCUUCAUCUUCGGGGUCUCAGAGGCAGCCAUCGGGGUGUCGGCUGCAUCUUCGGUCUCAUCUGCAGACUUGGCUGGGCUGGGAGGGAUCCCCUCCCCCGUGUUCGUGGUCAUUGGCAGAAUCCAGUUCCUGGUGUUUGUGGGACUGAGGGUCUCCAUCUCUUGCAGGCUGCGUCAGCCUUUGCUGCCUUUGCUGAGACCUUCGCUGAAGCCCCUUCACCAUACAGAUGAGAAGCCGAGGCUAAUGGGGGUAAAGCAGCAUGCUCCAGGCUGUGAAGACAGGAAGAGGCAGAGUCGGCCUGUGUCUAGGCCCGGCCGCUCCUGGGCAGGGGUCCUCCUGCUCUCCUACCUCACUGGAUUUCCCAAGCUCAGCCUGGCGGGGUCUGGCAGAGGCUGGCAGGGCCUGGCAGGGAUUAUGAGGUGUGUCCGAGUCUCCUGGCAACGGGGAUCGCACCCAGGCUGGCCCAGCACCUUUGCCCCGCAAGCCGGGGAGCGGUGCCAUUGCUCCAGGAAGUCCCCCGGCCUGAGACUUUCCCAAACUCUACCCAGACCCAGUGCCCAGAGGCUGGAGGAGCAUAUCUCCCUCCGUGCAUGGCGCCACACUCACUCUGGGAUGAUUCCAGGUCGUACUGGAACACCUGCUUCAUUUCUCACCCUGAGGUGGAUGCAGGAAGGAGAGAGAAAGACACCGGUACAGAGUCCUGCUUUGGAUGGGCUGAUCAUGCCGGUGUAAAGAAAGGACCGAGAUCCUGCUGCAAGGAACCACCCUCCCCAGUGUGGCUGUCCCCAAAGGAAAGGGGCUGGGUGGGGAACAUCCCCUGGGAGUACCACAGGGCCUUAUGAUGAGAAGAGCUCAGCCUCUGGAGCCACCAACUUGGGUUCAAAUCCAAACUAAGCCCGGGGUCAGGUCCCCUCCAGGAGCCUGUGUGCUUGUGAGUCAGGGUGGUUGGGGUGAGGUCACCAUGUCGCACAGUUUGGGAAGGUUGAAGAGGGUCAAUGAUGCAAAGCACCAGCAUGUGGCAGACACUGGAGUCAGCCCCUUACUACUGGGGGCCAUUUCUUUUAGGGGCUCCAGUGCCUUGUCUGCGACAGGGAGGAGAGGUCUGCAUGGUGCAGAUAUGGACACCCAAUGCCCCCGGGAGGAAGGGGCUCCUUCCCUCGGGCUCCCAGGGGGACAAUGGAAGUUGCAGAUGGCUGAGCCUGCACCGUAGCAGGGAUACCAUGGGGCGGACACUCUGAAGUCAACUCCGACACGGUUAUAUCCCAUCUUUAGAAGAGACAGGCAGUGGGGAC
ensembl:lncRNA